CCGAGUUUACAGCUCCCAAACCCCUGUGAACAUACCACCUGUUGCCUCGGCGGAUCAGCCCGCUCCCGGUAAAACGGGACGGCCCGCCAGAGGACCCCUAAACUCUGUUUCUAUAUGUAACUUCUGAGUAAAACCAUAAAUAAAUCA
rnacentral:misc_RNA from 1 species